rnacentral:tRNA from 1 species
GAGGCCAUGGUGUAGUAGUAGCACAAGACUCUGUGGAAGUCUAAGCACGGGUGCAAAUCCCGUUGGUCUCC